AUUGAACGCUGGCGGCAGGCCUAACACAUGCAAGUCGAACGAGCGGCGGACGGGUGAGUAAUGUCUGGGAAACUGCCCGAUGGAGGGGGAUAACUACUGGAAACGGUAGCUAAUACCGCAUACUGUCGGAUGUGCCCAUAUGGGAUUAGCUUGUAGGUGAGGUAAUGGCUUACCUAGGCGACGAUCCCUAGCUGGUCUGAGAGGAUGAUCAGCCACACUGGGACUGAGACACGGUCCAGACUCCUACGGGAGGCAGCAGUGGGGAAUAUUGCACAAUGGGCGCAAGCCUGAUGCAGCCAUGCCGCGUGUAUGAAGAAGGCCUUAGGGUUGUAAAGUACUUUCAGUGGGGAGGCGUUACCCGCAGAAGAAGCACCGGCUAACUCCGUGCCAGCAGCCGCGGUAAUAC
rnacentral:rRNA from 1 species